GUCUAUGGCCAUGCCACGCUGAACAUGCCCAAUCUCAUCUGAUCUCGGAAGCUAAGCAGGGUCGGGCCUGGUUAGUACUUGGAUGGGAGACCACCUAGGAAGAUCUAGUGCUGUAGGCA
rfam:Pteropus alecto contig17737, whole genome shotgun sequence.